rnacentral:rRNA from 1 species
ACAGAGGGGGCAAGCGUUGUUCGGAAUUACUGGGCGUAAAGGGCGCGUAGGCGGCCUUCUAAGUCGAACGUGAAAUCCCCGGGCUCAACCCGGGAACUGCGUCCGAUACUGGAAGGCUUGAAUCCGGGAGAGGGAUGUGGAAUUCCAGGUGUAGCGGUGAAAUGCGCAGAUAUCAGGAGGAACACCGGUGGCGAAGGCGGAUCUCUGGGCCUUACCUGACGCUCAGGCGCGAAAGCUAGGGGAGCGAACAGGA